rnacentral:rRNA from 1 species
GACAGAGGGUGCAAACGUUGUUCGGAAUUACUGGGCGUAAAGCGUGUGUAGGCGGCCAUGCAAGUCGGAUGUGAAAGCCCUGGGCUCAACCCAGGAAGUGCACUCGAAACUGCAUGGCUAGAGUAUCGGAGAGGUUGGUGGAAUUCUCGGUGUGAGAGGUGGAAAUUCGUAGAUAUCGAGAGGAACACCAAGUGGCGAAGGCGAUCACCUGGGGGUUGUUCUGACGCUGAGGAGCGAAAGCUAGGGGGAGCAAACGGG